rnacentral:rRNA from 1 species
CGGGUGAAGGUGGCGGACGGGUGAGUAACGCGUAAAGAACUUGCCUUACAGACUGGGACAACAUUUGGAAACGAAUGCUAAUACCGGAUAUUAUGAUUGGGUCGCAUGAUCUGGUUAUGAAAGCUAUAUGCGCUGUGAGAGAGCUUUGCGUCCCAUUAGUUAGUUGGUGAGGUAACGGCUCACCAAGACGAUGAUGGGUAGCCGGCCUGAGAGGGUGAACGGCCACAAGGGGACUGAGACACGGCCCUUACUCCUACGGGAGGCAGCAGUGGGGAAUAUUGGACAAUGGACCAAAAGUCUGAUCCAGCAAUUCUGUGUGCACGAAGAAGUUUUUCGGAAUGUAAAGUGCUUUCAGUUGGGAAGAAGUCAGUGACGGUACCAACAGAAGAAGCGACGGCUAAAUACGUGCCAGCAGCCGCGGUAAUACGUAUGUCGCAAGCGUUAUCCGGAUUUAUUGGGCGUAAAGCGCGUCUAGGCGGCUUAGUAAGUCUGAUGUGAAAAUGCGGGGCUCAACCCCGUAUUGCGUUGGAAACUGCUAAACUAGAGUACUGGAGAGGUAGGCGGAACUACAAGUGUAGAGGUGAAAUUCGUAGAUAUUUGUAGGAAUGCCGAUGGGGAAGCCAGC